rnacentral:tRNA from 1 species
GUGUAGCUCAGAGGUGGAGGGCUUGCCUGGCAUGCACGAAGCUCUGGGUUCAAUCCCCAGCAC